CUAAGUUCAGCGGGUAUCCCUACCUGAUCCGAGGUCAAAUUCAUGGGGGUAGCUUCUGGGAGCCGAUCCGUCGGGCCCGAGUUCGCGUUUUCUGCUGCGCUCGAAGCCAACGUGCCGGCCGCCAAUAGAUUUGAGGCGAGUCCGCGCCGUUAGGCAGGACAGACGCCCAACACAAGCAGAGCUUGAAGGUUUGAAUGACG
rnacentral:misc_RNA from 1 species